AUUGAACGCUGGCGGCAGGCCUAACACAUGCAAGUCGAACGAGUGGCGGACGGGUGAGUGAUGUAUGGGAAAGUGACUGAUGGAGGGGUAUAACUACGGUAAACGAUGGCUAAUACCGCACACCAUCAGAUGUGCCAAGAUGGGAUUAGCUUGUUGGUGGGGUAACGGCUCACCAAGGCGACGAUCCCUAGCUGGUCGGAGAGGCUGAGCAGCCACACUGGAACUGAGACACGGUCCAGACUCCUACGGUAGGCAGCAGUGGGGAAUAUUGCACAAUGGGCGCAAGCCUGAUGCAGCCAUGCCGCGUGUAUGAAGAAGGCCUUGGGGUUGUAAAGUACUGUCAGCGGGGAGGCGUUACCCGCAGAAGAAGCACCGGCUAACUCCGUGCCAGCAGCCGCGGUAAUUC
rnacentral:rRNA from 1 species